rnacentral:rRNA from 1 species
GAUGAACGCUGGCGGCGUGCCUAAUACAUGCAAGUCGAGCGAACAGACGAGGAGCUUGCUCCUCUGACGUUAGCGGCGGACGGGUGAGUAACACGUGGAUAACCUACCUAUAAGACUGGGAUAACUUCGGGAAACCGGAGCUAAUACCGGAUAAUAUAUUGAACCGCAUGGUUCAAUAGUGAAAGACGGUUUUGCUGUCACUUAUAGAUGGAUCCGCGCCGCAUUAGCUAGUUGGUAAGGUAACGGCUUACCAAGGCAACGAUGCGUAGCCGACCUGAGAGGGUGAUCGGCCACACUGGAACUGAGACACGGUCCAGACUCCUAAGGGAGGCAGCAGUAGGGAAUCUUCCGGAAUGGGCGAAAGCUUGACGGAGCAACGCCGCGUGAGUGAUGAAGGUCUUCGGAUCGUAAAACUCUGUUAUUAGGGAAGAACAAAUGUGUAAGUAACUAUGCACGUCUUGACGGUACCUAAUCAGAAAGCCACGGCUAACUACGUG